UACGUAGGGUGCAAGCGUUAAUCGGAAUUACUGGGCGUAAAGCGUGCGCAGGCGGCUAUGCAAGACAGAUGUGAAAUCCCCCGGCUUAACCUGGGAACUGCGUCUGAUACUGGGAAGCUUGAGUUCGGGAGAGGGAUGUAGAAUUCCAGGUGUAGCGGUGAAAUGCGUAGAUAUCUGGAGGAAUACCGGUGGCGAAGGCGGCAUCCUGGACCGAAACUGACGCUGAGGCGCGAAAGCUAGGGGAGCAAACGGG
rnacentral:rRNA from 1 species